UACGGAGGGUGCAAGCAUUAAUCGGAAUUAUUGGGCGUAAAGGGCGCGCAGGCGGUUUGGCGAGUGUGAUGUGAAAGCCCCGGGCUUAACUUGGGAAGAGCAUUGCAAACGACAUGACUGGAGUAGAUGAGAGGGUGGCGGAAUUUCCGGUGUAGCGGUGAAAUGCGUAGAGAUCGGAAGGAACGUCGAUGGCGAAGGCAGCCACCUGGCAUAAUACUGACGCUGAGGCGCGAGAGCGUGGGGAGCAAACAGG
rnacentral:rRNA from 1 species